rnacentral:rRNA from 1 species
AAGAUUCUUCGGAUGAUUUCCUUUGUGACUGAGCGGCGGACGGGUGAGUAACGCGUGGGUAACCUGCCUCAUACAGGGGGAUAACAGUUAGAAAUGACUGCUAAUACCGCAUAAGACCACGGUACCGCAUGGUACAGUGGUAAAAACUCCGGUGGUAUGAGAUGGACCCGCGUCUGAUUAGGUAGUUGGUGGGGUAACGGCCUACCAAGUCGACGAUCAGUAGCCGACCUGAGGGGGUGACCGGCCACAUUGGGACUGAGACACGGCCCAGACUCCUACGGGAGGCAGCAGUGGGGAAUAUUGCACAAUGGAGGAAACUCUGAUGCAGCGACGCCGCGUGAAGGAUGAAGUAUUUCGGUAUGUAAACUUCUAUCAGCAGGGAAGAAAAUGACGGUACCUGACUAAGAAGCCCCGGCUAACUACGUGCCAGCAGCCGCGGUAAUACGUAGGGGGCAAGCGUUAUCCGGAUUUACUGGGUGUAAAGGGAGCGUAGACGGCACGGCA